GAUAAACGCUGGCGGCGUGCUUUAUGCAUGCAAGUCGAACGGUUCUGAUUUUAUUAGGAUAGUGGCAAACGGGUGAGUAAUACGUAAGUAACCUGCCCCUAAGUGGGGAAUAACCCCGGGAACCGGGGCUAAUACUGCAUGUGGUGAUGGGGGUAAGGCUCCAUCACUAAAGCCUUCGGGCGCUUGGGAGGGCUUGCGUCCGAUUAGCUAGUUGGUAAGGUAAUGGCCUACCAAGGCUAUAAUCGGUAGCUGGUCUGAGAGGAUGGCCAGCCACACUGGGACUGAGACACGGCCCAGACUCCUACGGGAGGCUG
rnacentral:rRNA from 1 species